AUUGAACGCUGGCGGCAUGCCUUACACAUGCAAGUCGAACGGCAGCGCGGGGAGCUUGCUUCCUGGCGGCGAGUGGCGAACGGGUGAGUAAUACAUCGGAACGUGCCCUUUAGUGGGGGAUAGCUCGGCGAAAGCCGGAUUAAUACCGCAUAUGCUCUGAGGAGGAAAGCGGGGGACCUUCGGGCCUCGUGCUAGAGGAGCGGCCGAUGGCAGAUUAGCUAGUUGGUGGGGUAAAGGCCUACCAAGGCGACGAUCUGUAGCUGGUCUGAGAGGACGA
rnacentral:rRNA from 1 species